AUACGGAGGAUGCGAGCGUUAUCCGGAUUUAUUGGGUUUAAAGGGAGCGUAGGUGGGAUAUUAAGUCAGCUGUGAAAGUUUGGGGCUCGACCUUAAAAUUGCAGUUGAUACUGGUUUCCUUGAGUACGGUAUAGGUGGGCGGAAUUCGUAGUGUAGCGGUGAAAUGCUUAGAUAUCACGAAGAACUCCGAUCGCGAAGGCAGCUCACCGGGCCGGAACUGACACUGAUGCUCGAAAGUGCGGGUAUCAAACAGGAUUAGAUACCCUGGUAGUCCGCACAGUAAACGAUGAAUACUCGCUGUUUGCGAUACACUGUAAGCGGCCAAGCGAAAGCGUUAAGUAUUCCACCUGGGGAGUACGCCGGCAACGGUGAAACUCAAAUGAAUUGACGGGG
rnacentral:rRNA from 1 species